rnacentral:rRNA from 1 species
UGGGGAAUAUUGGACAAUGGGCGAAAGCCUGAUCCAGCCAUGCCGCGUGUGUGAAGAAGGUCUUCGGAUUGUAAAGCACUUUAAGUUGGGAGGAAGGGCAGUAAGCGAAUACCUUGCUGUUUUGACGUUACCGACAGAAUAAGCACCGGCUAACUCUGUGCCAGCAGCCGCGGUAAUACAGAGGGUGCAAGCGUUAAUCGGAAUUACUGGGCGUAAAGCGCGCGUAGGUGGUUCGUUAAGUUGAAUGUGAAAGCCCCAGGCUCAACCUGGGAACUGCAUCCAAAACUGGCGAGCUAGAGUAGGGCAGAGGGUGGUGGAAUUUCCUGUGUAGCGGUGAAAUGCGUAGAUAUAGGAAGGAACACCAGUGGCGAAGGCGACCACCUGGGCUCAUACUGACACUGAGGUGCGAAAGCGUGGGGAGCAAACAGG